rnacentral:tRNA from 1 species
UUUUAUAUAGUUUAAUAAAAACAUUAUAUUUUCAGUAUAAAAUUAAUAAUUUAUUUAUAAAUU